AUCCUGGCUCAGAUUGAACGCUGGCGGCAGGCCUAACACAUGCAAGUCGAGCGGUAGAGAGGUGCUUGCACCUCUUGAGAGCGGCGGACGGGUGAGUAAAGCCUAGGAWUCUGCCUGGUAGUGGGGGAUAACGCUCGGAAACGGACGCUAAUACCGCAUACGUCCUACGGGAGAAAGCAGGGGACCUUCGGGCCUUGCGCUAUCAGAUGAGCCUAGGUCGGAUUAGCUAGUUGGUGAGGUAAUGGCUCACCAAGGCGACGAUCCGUAACUGGUCUGAGAGGAUGAUCAGUCACACUGGAACUGAGACACGGUCCAGACUCCUACGGGAGGCAGCAGUGGGGAAUAUUGGACAAUGGGCGAAAGCCUGAUCCAGCCAUGCCGCGUGUGUGAAGAAGGUCUUCGGAUUGUAAAGCACUUUAAANUGGGAGGAAGGGCAUUAACCUAAUACGUUAGUGUUUUGNCGUUCCGNCAAUAGCGGCU
rnacentral:rRNA from 1 species